UACGUAGGGUGCGAGCGUUAAUCGGAAUUACUGGGCGUAAAGCGUGCGCAGGCGGCUUCGCAAGUCAGACGUGAAAUCCCCGGGCUUAACCUGGGAAUGGCGUUUGAAACUACGGAGCCGGAGUGUGGCAGAGGGAGGUAGAAUUCCACGUGUAGCGGUGAAAUGCGUAGAUAUGUGGAGGAAUACCGAUGGCGAAGGCAGCCUCCUGGGCCAACACUGACGCUCAUGCACGAAAGCGUGGGGAGCAAACAGG
rnacentral:rRNA from 1 species